AUUGAACGCUGGCGGCAUGCCUUACACAUGCAAGUCGAACGGCAGCACGGGAGCAAUCCUGGUGGCGAGUGGCGAACGGGUGAGUAAUAUAUCGGAACGUGCCCAGUAGUGGGGGAUAACUGCUCGAAAGAGCAGCUAAUACCGCAUACGACCUGAGGGUGAAAGCGGGGGAUCGCAAGACCUCGCGCUAUUGGAGCGGCCGAUAUCAGAUUAGCUAGUUGGUGAGGUAAAGGCUCACCAAGGCGACGAUCUGUAGCUGGUCUGAGAGGACGACAAGCCACACUGGGACUGAGACACGGCCCAGACUCCUACGGGAGGCAGCAGUGGGGAAUUUUGGACAAUGGGCGCAAGCCUGAUCCAGCCAUGCCGCGUGCGGGAAGAAGGCCUUCGGGUUGUAAACCGCUUUUGUCAGGGAAGAAACGGCUCCUACUAAUACUGGGGGCUAAUGACGGUACCUGAAGAAUAAGCACCGGCUAACUACGUGCCAGCCGCCGCAGUAAAAC
rnacentral:rRNA from 1 species